rnacentral:lncRNA from 1 species
UGUCCCGUUACUGGUCCCGAGAGUCGACGGACGCAAAACUUUCUUUGAAAUACCGUCACACCCACAUCCAUAUACUUCUACUUACAGUCCUGCGCACAGGGAAAUGGAAAUGGAGGGGUGAGCAACAAGUUACUCAGUGAAGUGGCUCUAGACCAGUCUGCCCGCAUGACACUCUAUACUACUCAAUGCGGGAACUAGGACUGACUAGCCACUACAAUCAUGUAAUGUAUUUUCAUCAUUUCAUAUCAUCAUCAUUAUUUCCAAACAUU